rnacentral:lncRNA from 1 species
CUGGACUAAAAGUGCCUUCUAGAUAAUGAUGCCAUUCUUGAAAUGAAUCCUUAAUUGCAAGAAGCUCUUUGUUGUAGACUGUAGAAUAAAUAUUAGUUCGUUUCUAUAAGAUAUUGAUAAAAUAGACUAAUAGUCCAUAGAAUAGUUAAGUCAAGAAGAUGGAUGAUUGAUUUAGUUAUUAAAAGUGGUUAAUUACAGAAUUACAGUUAGAAUCUGGGAAUCACGAGUAGUUAUAUAAGAGUUGUAAAAGUUUGUUGGAUGCCAGAUUGUGAUAGUCAUGAGCCGGGAUAAGCUUGGUGCUACUUCUUUGUUUCUUUAUUUUCUUUGUUGUUGAAGAAUAAUGGAUAGUUUCUAAAUAUUGAGAAGUGAGUUUGUGGAAUAAAUCAG